rnacentral:rRNA from 1 species
UCGAGCGAACAGAAGGGAGCUUGCUCCCGGAUGUUAGCGGCGGACGGGUGAGUAACACGUGGGUAACCUGCCUGUAAGACUGGGAUAACUCCGGGAAACCGGAGCUAAUACCGGAUAGUUCCUUGAACCGCAUGGUUCAAGGAUGAAAGACGGUUUCGGCUGUCACUUACAGAUGGACCCGCGGCGCAUUAGCUAGUUGGUGGGGUAAUGGCUCACCAAGGCGACGAUGCGUAGCCGACCUGAGAGGGUGAUCGGCCACACUGGGACUGAGACACGGCCCAGACUCCUACGGGAGGCAGCAGUAGGGAAUCUUCCGCAAUGGACGAAAGUCUGACGGAGCAACGCCGCGUGAGUGAUGAAGGUUUUCGGAUCGUAAAGCUCUGUUGUUAGGGAAGAACAAGUGCGAGAGUAACUGCUCGCACCUUGACGGUACCUAACCAGAAAGCCACGGCUAACUACGUGCCAGCAGCCGCGGUAAUACGUAGGUGGCAAGCGUUGUCCGGAAUUAUUGGGCGUAAAGGGCUCGCAGGCGGUUUCUUAAGUCUGAUGUGAAAGCCCCCGGCUCAACCGGGGAGGGUCAUUGGAAACUGGGAAACUUGAGUGCAGAAGAGGAGAGUGGAAUUCCACGUGUAGCGGUGAAAUGCGUAGAGAUGUGGAGGAACACCAGUGGCGAAGGCGACUCUCUGGUCUGUAACUGACGCUGAGGAGCGAAAGCGUGGGGAGCGAACAGGAUUAGAUACCCUGGUAGUCACGCCGUAA